CGAGGCCGAAAGGCGUAGUCGAUGGGAAACGGGUUAAUAUUCCCGUACUUCUUACAAUUGCGAUGGGGGGACGGAGAAGGCUAGGUGGGCCUGGCGACGGUUGUCCAGGUUCAAGUGCGUAGGCUUGAGAGUUAGGUAAAUCCGGCUCUCUUUAAGGCUGAGACACGACGUCGAGCACCUACGGGUGUGAAGUCAUUGAUGCCAUGCUUCCAGGAAAAGCCUCUAAGCUUCAGAUUGUAAGGAAUCGUACCCCAAACCGACACAGGUGGUCGGGUAGAGAAUACCAAGGCGCUUGAGAGAACUCGGGUGAAGGAACUAGGCAAAAUGGUACCGUAACUUCGGGAGAAGGUACGCUCU
rnacentral:rRNA from 1 species